rnacentral:rRNA from 1 species
UACAGGGGGGGCAAGCGUUUGUUCGGAAUUACUGGGCGUAAAGGGCUCGUAGGCGGCCAACUAAGUCACACGUGAAAUCCCCAGGCUUAACCUGGGAACUGCGUGUGAUACUGGAUGGCUUGAAUCCGGGAGAGGGAUGCAGAAUUCCAGGUGUAGCGGUGAAAUGCGUAGAUAUCUGGAGGAAUACCGGUGGCGAAGGCGGCAUCCUGGACCGGCAUUGACGCUGAUGAGCGAAAGCUAGGGGGAGCAAACGGGG